UGGGGAAUAUUGCACAAUGGGCGCAAGCCUGAUGCAGCCAUGCCGCGUGUGUGAAGAAGGCCUUCGGGUUGUAAAGCACUUUCAGCGAGGAGGAAGGUGGUGAGCUUAAUACGCUCAUCAAUUGACGUUACUCGCAGAAGAAGCACCGGCUAACUCCGUGCCAGCAGCCGCGGUAAUACGGAGGGUGCAAGCGUUAAUCGGAAUUACUGGGCGUAAAGCGCACGCAGGCGGUUUGUUAAGUCAGAUGUGAAAUCCCCGGGCUCAACCUGGGAACUGCAUUUGAAACUGGCAAGCUAGAGUCUCGUAGAGGGGGGUAGAAUUUCCAGGUGUAGCGGUGAAAUGCGUAGAGAUCUGGAGGAAUACCGGUGGCGAAGGCGGCCCCCCUGGACGAAGACUGACGCUCAGGUGCGAAAGCGUGGGGCAGCAAACAGGAUUAGAUACCCUGGUAGUCCAGCGCUGUAAACGAUGUCGAUUUGGAGGUUGUGCCCUUGAGGCGUGGCUUCCGGAGCUAACGCGUUAAAUCGACCGCCUGGGGAGUACGGCCGCAAGG
rnacentral:rRNA from 1 species